GAAAUGCGAUAAGUAGUGUGAAUUGCAGAAUUCAGUGAAUCAUCGAAUCUUUGAACGCACAUUGCGCCCCUUGGUAUUCCAUGGGGCAUGCCUGUUCGAGCGUCAUUUGUACCUUCAAGCUUUGCUUGGUGUUGGGUGUUUGUCUCGCCUCUGCGCGCAGACUCGCCUCAAAACGAUUGGCAGCCGGCGUAUUGAUUUCGGAGCGCAGUACAUCUCGCGCUUUGUAGUCUCAACGACGACGUCCAAAAAGUACUUUUUUCACUCUUGACCUCGGAUCAGGUAGGGAUACCCGCUGAACUUAA
rnacentral:misc_RNA from 1 species